GUAGCAACUGAGACUAGCAGAAAGGAGGAAGAAAACUGCCUUAUCUCCACGGUGAAGUCCUCAUCGUUUGUAUCGUCUUCCUCCUCCGUCUCCAUGUGAUGAUACUUCUCUGACCGAGCUGCGGAGGAAGGUUCGGGAACAGUCUGGGUUACUCAGAGAGUUUUCUGUGUUUAACGGAGACAACUACACUAUGAGGACCCGGAGCAGAGCAACAGGGAGCUUUCUAGAAUUUGUAGUUGGGGAAUAAAUUCCGCCUUCUGUCUCAGCAAACUGUUCCAGUCUAGGGAGCGGAAGAAACGAUGCUGCUUCACUUCAUAGGCUCCACCUGGAUGGGGAAAGGAGUGAGGCUGAGAGGCUGAGCCACCCUCUGCAGAGUAAGCACCAGGCUUAAAAACAGUUCAUGAUAUUUAUUAGCAGAGAAAUGAAGAAGUGGUAGAGUCCACACUACCCCCCCACCCCCACCUUCUACAACCAAAACUUGGAAAAAAAAAAUUCCUAUAAUUUAUCAGCAGGAAAUCUGAUUUUGCUAACAGCGGUUGCUAUAGCACAGAUUUUUCUCGGUUAAUUUUUCUACGACUUCUUCCAUUUUUCAAAGGUUAAUGACAGGGCCACUUAAAAUCACAUUAUACUGGACCUGGGGACAUGGACGCACGUUGGCCCAAAAGCAGACUCGCUCAUUACAAACCCUGAAGAUCCUAACAAGGUGCAAAACGUGCUUACAGCAAGAUUUCUUCUGGAGGGAAGGUUGAUAAUGAUGGAUUUUC
rnacentral:lncRNA from 1 species